rnacentral:rRNA from 1 species
UGGGGAAUUUUGGACAAUGGGCGAAAGCCUGAUCCAGCAAUGCCGCGUGUGUGAAGAAGGCCUUCGGGUUGUAAAGCACUUUUGUCCGGAAAGAAAUCCUUGGCUCUAAUACAGUCGGGGGAUGACGGUACCGGAAGAAUAAGCACCGGCUAACUACGUGCCAGCAGCCGCGGUAAUACGUAGGGUGCAAGCGUUAAUCGGAAUUACUGGGCGUAAAGCGUGCGCAGGCGGUUUGCUAAGACCGAUGUGAAAUCCCCGGGCUCAACCUGGGAACUGCAUUGGUGACUGGCAGGCUAGAGUAUGGCAGAGGGGGGUAGAAUUCCACGUGUAGCAGUGAAAUGCGUGGAGAUGUGGAGGAAUACCGAUGGCGAAGGCAGCCCCCUGGGCCAAUACUGACGCUCAUGCACGAAAGCGUGGGGAGCAAACAGGAUUAGAUACCCUGGUAGUCCACGCCCUAAACGAUGUCAACUAGUUGUUGGGGAUUCAUUUCCUUAGUAACGUAGCUAACGCGUGAAGUUGACCGCCUGGGGAGUACGGUCGCAAGAUUAAAACUUAAAUGAAUUGACGGGGUCAUAGCUGUUUCCU